rnacentral:misc_RNA from 1 species
GAUGAAGAACGCAGCGAAAUGCGAUAAGUAGUGUGAAUUGCAGAAUUCAGUGAAUCAUCGAAUCUUUGAACGCACAUUGCGCCCCUUGGUAUCCCGAGGGGCAUGCCUGUUCGAGCGUCAUUUCACCACUCAAGCCUGGCUUGGUGUUGGGCGACGUCCUCAUUGGGGACGCGCCUCGAAACGCUCGGCGGCGUGGCACCGGCUUUAAGCGUAGCAGAAUCUUUCGCUUUGGAAGUCGGGGCCCCGUCUGCCGGAAGACCUGCUCGCAAGGUUGACCUCGGAUCAGGCAGGGAUACCCGCUGAACUUAAGCAUAUCAAUAAGCGGAGGA